CUUUUGUUGUAACCCGUUGAGUGGGUUGAUGUGUUUUUGUUGUAACCCGUUGAGUGGGGUUGAUGUGUUUUUGUUGUAACCCGUUGAGUGGGCUUACGUGCUUUCUGGGUGUAAUGCACCCAACGUGGCAAUAUGAUCCAACAAACUGAGGUUCACCGGUGUACGAAAUCGAAAAUGAUCUGUUGUGUCAUUACGGUCUGGCUGGCGACUCACAGAACGCACCUAACACUUUGAAUACAAAUUAUAACAUUACAAAUUCCUAUUCUCUUUUAUUUUUCUGUUGUCAAACCUCCGAACGAAACUUUGUUAUUGCACUGGACCCUUGACUUACUUGGACAUUUAGUUAAAUCGCAAAUAAUGUCAGUUGUAUCGAAUCUAAUGUAAGAAAUACGAUAUUUUAGUUACACACGAGGACGUGUGAUAGUCAGGAUGGCCGUGUCGGAGAUGAAAGAACACCGGAGCCUUUGGAAUUUUGGAUAAUCCCGCAACAUUGUAACCUAGAGUCUACUAUAGCUGUAAUUGAACAAUUGUAGUUAUUCAACCCGAUUGUAAUUAUUCGAGAAUUGUGAUAAUGAGCUUGGGUUCGAGGCGACAGUCAGUCGCCGAACGUAGCCGCGGUCACGGGAUGAACGCUUUGCCUAACAAAGGUAUGGAGUAAUUCUAUAGCUCUCCUUAAAAGAAAUAUUCGUGGCGACACGCGACAGUAAACAUUCCAACGGUUUCUGUCCCGUGGCUCGCCACACGCAGACCCUAUUCUUCGAGUAAGAUGAUUGCCAGAUGUCGAUGCGUCUCCGCAGUACAUGUUCGGCUAGCUGGAGGGCCCGUUAUAAAUCUUAAGGUUUAGUUAACUAAAGUCCUUCAAACAGACAAACAGUCUUUGUCCCAACUACGGGAAGAUAGGGGAGACAUAUUUUUCAACGAGCGGCGUCUCCCACUAGCAACUUUCCCUCGAGGGCGGCUAACAUCUUUUUCUAACCACCGAUAUGGAGAUUGACCAAUUAGCAGCAACGUCAAUUUCCCUUACUUCCUAAACGAAGGCUUUCCUCGACGAAUCCGAUGAUCUCGUGUCCUUAGACACACCCCAUUAUAGUUUUCCUCUGU